GUUGUUCGGCUUCUCUGUGAGACUACAGGGAAAUGUCAACAAAUUAAUUGCACCCACUGUUAAAAGGGGCUUCAAAAGCUGUUCUCAAUCAUCUGCUUUAUCCAAAUACUGUGUGUGGGAAGUUGUGUUGUUUACUACCAGCUAUCAUCUAUAUUACCAUAGCACCUAAGAGCCUCGGAAAUGUAGAGGGCUCCAUUGCAGGGAUGCAACGAAGAGAGAGAAAAAAAAGACCAUCACAGUCUCCAAAUAUCCUCUCAGGUGUUAAUCCUUUCACACAACCUGAAGUAAAAAACAGUGCAACUCAACCAUUCUCACCUCUUUAAAACUUUCACCUUUUCUUUCUAGGUGAAAGUAGGUCUUAGAGCCUUUUUGUUACUCAUCUGCUGCCCUUUCAAGUUUUAUCUGCAAGACAUUAGAUAGGGUUAAGCCUAACACUGAAUAUGUAUCUUUUUAUUUCAGCUCAAACUGCAUUGUUGGCAGGGUGAUGUUACCUUGAUAACAUUGUAACAUGGGGUGCUUUGCAUAUAUUGGGAUCUGUAUCCUUCUAAUUAUCCAACGACUAGAUAAUCUUCAAGGGCAGGAAUUUUCCAAAUGGUCUGGAAUGCAGGCUGCAGAUAAACAGAUAAUAUCCUAGUGAGGUAAAAGCAAACCAAAUAUGGUGUUCUGGAAUGAGAUGCAGCACUGUCAGUUUGGAACACACAAUACAAUCUGUAUAUUAAAAAAGUAAAUUAAGCAAUUUUUUCAGUUACAAGACAACCUUACUGCAGAGGUCCAGCUCAUUUUUUUUUUUCAACCAGGUAGUAUGAGAGCAGUUUCCCUUUGUGGGUGCACAGGUUGUUGCUGUUAAUAGGACCGAGUCGGUGCUCUAUGCCUGGAGAGUGGUUUUCAACCUUGUAAUCCACAUACCCUUGGAAUUCCUUAGGCUAAUUCCAGAGGCUCUUGGAAGAGCCUUAUAAAUAGGCUCCCAACAACUCAAGAGUGGUCCUCACAAUCAUUGGAAAAAAGUUUUGAGGAGCUUGUUUUUUCCCUUUUCCCUAAACAAAAUAAAGCCAAGCUGUUCUGCAGGACGCGUGAUUUCAAUUUCUGAAGAUUGCUUGGGGCUUCGGUGAAGUCGGUGUAAAGAUGGCUGUAUAUUUACCCAGGUAGACCAGUAACCACCUGCAGGACAGAUCCAAGCCUUCUCAUUUCACCCUUUCUGGUAGGAAACAUUGUCAGGAUUCAGCAAACCGUUUGCCUUGAGUUUUCUGCAUCUGCUGGCGAAGGUCCAUUAUUUCUUUUGCUCGUAUUUUGUUUAUAACAGAGAAUGAAACAUGAGGCAGCAGUGCUGUCCCUUACAAGGGAAAAACUGAAAAUCCAAAGCGAUCUCAUGACUCCAAACAGAAUCAGAUGAUAAGCCUGGGAAGCUUACCCAGCUAUGAUGGUGCCUUGUACCAAUCAACAGCUCAGGAUUAGUAGGAUUAAAGUAAAUCUUAUUUCUGGCCAUCCAUGUCUGAAUUUCAGUUUGGCAUCUGGUCAACAAAGCAACCGCCUUUUGCAAGGUAGUGUGACAAAUUUCUUUUUCCAUAAACAUUAUGGAAAAAAAAAAGAAAAAAGAAAAAAAGGAUGUUCUUGAAAAGUCUGUGAAGUGCUCUGCAUUACCUGUGCAGAUGGUGCUAAAAUUGGAGCAGAACAAAAUGCUCAACUUUCAUCUUAUAAAAGAGCAAAGCAGAAACACAUCAUGUCGUCUCACGCUUACGUCUGCUCAGGUGAGGGAGGAGAAGCACUUCUUAUACCACACCCAAGUCCUCCAGAUGAAGAAUUUGUAUGAGUAUUCUCUUCUCUUUUAUACCUUGUGUAUGCAAUUGUGGAUGAGUAUUGGCUGACACACUUCAGUUCUUAGCCAGACGAAACGGGGAAGUUCAAGGACAUGAAAAGGACAUGGGUAUGCACAAAAGUGAAGGAACUGGUAUUUUGCAGUUGCAAAGGUGCUGAGAUUGCAAGCUUUAAACAAAGCGUGGUGUUCACAGCCACGUGAGUGUGCUUAGGUUUUGAAUGAUCUUUGCCAGAAGCUUUCCUCUUCAACAGAGACUCCAUUUCUAACAAAAACAGCUUUAAAUCCGAUUCUUCAUAUUGUUAACUUCUCAGAACAAGGACAUUUCUUAAAGAUCUCUCAGUGUUUUCCAGAAACUCUGCUCUCUCUUGCGCUUGCGGCUACUGGUUGACUCCUCAGUACUCAGGUAUCACAUGGAGGCAUGCCCCAUGUGCAAACGUGUCCAAACCAGCAUGGUGAAGGCAGCAGAGCAUAGUCCCAGCACAGGAACAAAUGAACUGCGUUUCUCUUGCCUACAGGCUUCUCCUCUGGACCGUGGAGUUGCUGAGUUUGAUAAAUACUAACGGCUAAAAAAUACACACCACAUUUAUAGUAGAUAGGAAAUGCCAGAUCUGCAUUUUGAAUGUCUCCAAUUCCAUCCCAACUCAGUGUGGCUAUCUGAAGCAUCAAGUAUCUAUUACCUGAAACCAAUAGGCCUUUUUAACCUUCCCCAGUGAAGCACUACUCAGGAUGAUUAACAGUGGUAGGGGCUGCUCUUUGAGCAGUUAAAUGCUGUAUUUUGAAAUCCCAUCAGACAGGGCUUAAUGUCUUCACAUUGAUAACCACUCCUUGGAUACCUCCUCAAUUCUUUGCUCUCAGUGCUAAGUGAAGAGGGAGCUACCCACUCCCUGCUUUAUGGCCUGAAAGUUUCUGAGCUAGAAUGUUAGUCAUUAAAAAUGACAGAGCUUGACCAGCGUCAAGAGCAUAACAUCUGACCUGGUGUGUAUAGUUAUUUUGUUCAGUUAAAACCAUGCUUUUAGGAAUAGGUGGCUGUAUAUAUGGUCUGUCUGCAACUCUAUCCAUCCCCAGUGGCCCGAGGGCUGCUGCUGCUGCUGUCUUCUGGAAGCAAAGAGGAAUAGCAGCUUUUUAAUCUGAAUACAACCAGGUAUAAAGAUUAUGCUGUCGGCAAACAAUGUAUCAUGUAACAGCCAAGCUCUUCUAAAGGGGAUGUUUUCAGUUUUAUGGGAGUUUUCAGUCCAGAAUGGAUGCAUUAGUGCAGGUUCAGUAAGAAAUAUGAUACCAGGAGUGAAUAGCAGUAAACAUCUUUUCGAGGGUGAAACUCAGGGUUUAAGUGAUACUUACGAAGAUACAGGCCUACAUUAAUGUUACCAAACGGAAUGAAUGGGCCAGAUGGUCAGCUGGUACAAAAGGAGCCUUGCUCUGUAGAAAAUGAAGAAUACUGAUUCUGUUUAUUGUUCAUCAUUGUUAAACGGCUUGUCCAUUAAGCCACCGGGGAUACAUCGCUUUCCCUUCAGUGCUCAUGGCUACUAAUAUCAAAGGUUUAAUAAGAAGGAGAGUAUAAGGAUCUCAGACAAUCGUUGGAUACACCACGCUGUGACACAUGGGGGUGUGUUCCUUGUGCCCCACGUGCUCUUCUGUUCACACCAACCCAAGAGAGAGCACUCAUUUCACAGCUGCAGUAGGCUCUUGCUUUUGGCAGGAAGAUGUUAACCCCAGGAAGGCUGGAGAACAAGGGCAAGUGCAUGCAUCCAAAUGCACAGCCUAUUUCCCCAAACCUUCCCUCCUUCCUUAUACACACUUUGGUGGAUCCUCCUGCGGGAGGCUCUGGGGCGUGUGGAGACCUCACCAAACUAAACACUGGAGUUCCUGCACUUUUACGUUUCUACUAGAAAUGAAGGAAAUAUUGUCUGAAAAGGCUUCGCAACCAUGACGUGUGAUAACCAGGACUUGCAGGAGUCUCGGCGAGAUGCUGUAGGAGUCUAAAUGGCAUCCUAACGGGAAAAGGGGCUGCUAACUGGUUUCACAUCACUCAUUUGAACACCAUUAUCCCGACACAUCCCCUAGACAACAGCCUCAGUGCAACAUCACUGCCUUGAGAUCAGGAGCUCAGCGUAAAGAGGUCAGACCGAGGAAGACGUCGAGCCUUCGCGAGGAAGACUUCUGACUUCAUCCCCACGACCACCAGAGGGAGACCCCCUACUACGGACAACGCAUGCGCCAGGGGAGGGGUAGUAUGUAAAUGAGUUUCUGGAAGAACAAUGGAUACUUGAAUGGGUUCCAAGAAUUUCUGCUGAAUAUGUAUGGAUUUGGCUUAUAAAUAUGUAUUGCUUCUUCUGGCUUGUGUGUAGGUUUGGUGGAGCGAUCCCCCUGCACCUGAUUGAUUGCGUAAUUAUCAAAUAAAUCAUACCUGCUUUA
ensembl:lncRNA